UGGUUGUUUUCUAGAUAAUGAAAGGAGUCACAUUUCUGCAUGUUAUUGUCAGUGCAGCUGCCAAAGUAGAUGUUAAACAGUUGUAUCAAUUCUAGAUUUGGCUCAGCUUUGCAGAAAUCGUCAGAGAUGAGACACGUUUUGUGUGUUUGAUGUUAGUUUUUACAGCUCGGCCAUCAAUCAAAAUACCCGGCUGAUGCUGCAGACAGAUGGAAGGAUCAGACUUCGACAUGCAGACGGUCACAAAGGCCAGACAGAAAGGUGAUCUCUUUGUUUUCCAUCUCAGUCGAAUUGUUUGUUGUGGUCGACGCAGACAGGAGGAGAGAGAGCGACAGCUGGAGGAGGAGGAGAAGAAACCGGAGACCACAGUUCCACCCACAGGCACGAGCCUCUCAGGUUGGUUUUCUUGCUCGAACACGUUGCUGCCAGGAUGAACGUUGGCUCAGCGGAUGACUGGUCCAUGCAGAUUUCCUGUCAGGCUUUCAGAGCUCGCAGGGUGAAGAGUUGUGACGCCGCCCCAGUGGCCCACCAGUCAUCUGAGGCACCAUAUACUGGAGCUGUCCUCCCAGUUUGAACCACUGGUUAAGGUGUUGCGGUUGAACCUCUUGCCCUGCCGAAGACAUGACUCUGGAGUUUCCCUGCACUGACACUGGCAGGUGUCGGGGUUCAGCGGCUGAUUUCCAGGACAGUCUGCAGUGCAAACGCAGCCACACAGCUCGUCAUCCCACCGCUGGCCAGCAGGGCAAAACUUCCCGUCAGCUGGGCCUUCACACUGGCAUUCACCUGGCAGAAGAUCAACCACAGAGGAAAAGAGGGAAUGUGUUGUGGUCCAGUUUCCAGCCUGGAUCACAGCUGGCUUCGGUGAGUCCGUUUUGACAGACGCACUCGCAGGUCGAGUCCUCCAGAACCCUGUUGGGCCCACAAAGAGCCAGGAGGCCUGAGUCGAGCACCUCUGGAAGACGCAUGGAAGAAAGUGAAAAAUGGUGAUCUGUUGCUGCUCGUCUGAUGAUGGAGUGGAGCGGCCGCUUGGACAGGCAUUCGCACGAAGUGUGGUUGAUGAAAGUCACCAUGACGACAGAGCGAUCCAUCCUGGGUGGGGACAGCUCCAUCAGCUGGCAGCGAGAAGGAUAAAGGGCAAAGCACUUACCGACAACUGUAAAAUAAAUUAUGGGGAACUGGACUGACAGGCGGGAAAAGAAGAAGCCGAAGAGAGACGAGAGGGCCAACGAGGAGGGAGAAAGAGGUUUUAGCCUCGGUUUGGACAGUGUGCUGUAAAUUGUCAUGGCCUGAGGGCAGAAGAACAACAUGGCAGCGGAUUCCCCACUCGUCUGACGCCUGGUUGAUGGAGUGGACGAUGUUUAAAUUAAGAGACUCCCUUUCCUGGAAAACCAGAAAGCCAGCACAAUUAAGUGAAUUACCGGCUCUAAGAUGCGGUGAAAGCGUCCCAUCCUCUCGACCACCCAGGCCUCCUGCUGCGGCACAAACAGCACCACGGUGUUCAUGGGUAACCGGGAGGCCCAUCGCUGCUGGACUGGACUCACCCACAACCUGGGAGCUGUAUGCUGGGAGCUCUGCACACAGAGUCCAUGUGCCACACAUCAGUCUGCUGGUGAUUCAGAGCUCCGUCCUCCAACAGCGGCUGGAGCUGCUGUCUGUGACUGAAUGAGACACACCUGAGACACGGCAGCAACAAACAGCCUCAUAUAAAGGACGACCAUGACAGUAAAGGGUCCGACAAAGGAGAAGCAGGCAUCUACUGUGCUGGACAUGUGGCUGAUGAACUGAUGAACCGAACUGACCUGGGAGUUUGGCCAGCAGUCCCUCCCAGGAUUUGUCCCUCGCUGCCGCAGCAUCCCUGCCAAUGUAAACCCCCAGAACCUUGACGCUCUCCUGGGCCUCUUCAAAUUCCCAAAUGUUUGGCGGCCGAGCCACCAAGCCACAAAACAUAAUUUGUGACUUUUCUGUGUUCACCCGUGCUCCCGAUGCUCUACAAAAAGUGUCCAGGUGCGUGAUUACACUGUCCACCUGUCCUGAGUUCUUGAGAAAUAAGUUUGUGUCGUCUGCAAAUUGUACUAUUUUAAUGUGUCUUUGUGCUGGUGUUAUGAUCCCCGUUAUGUGCCUGUCUGUGAUAAUCAGCUUGGCCAGUGGCUCGGCCGCUAAACUGUACAAAAGCGCAGAGAGAGGACAGCCCUGCCUGAUUGAGCAUUGGAGUUGGAUUGGUUUCGUUAAGAACCCAUUACAUUUUAUUUGACUGUGUGCAUUGUUGUACAAUAAUUGUAACCAGCCCAUGUACCUGCUCCUCAACCCCAGUGUCUUUGCAUCUUGAUCCAAAAGGCUCCACAUGUGAACUUCUGAAUAAUAGUGAAGAUCAUCAUCACCAGAAAUGUCAGUAGUCAUUCCUUAUUCAUAAUAGAAGAAAAAAUAAAUACCUGUGGAAGCUGCUGAUGGAUCCACAAGUGUAGAAAACUA